CUGCCAACGAGCUGAUCUGGGAGGACUGUGCUGCCAGUGGGGACUUCCCAGAUCUGGUUUUGAAUGUUUUCUGUCAGAUUGCUGUGAAGCUGCCUAAAUGACUCGCACCUGGACACAGGCAUCUCGGGAGGA
rnacentral:lncRNA from 1 species